CCCUACGGGAGGCAGCAGUGGGGAAUAUUGCACAAUGGGGGGAACCCUGAUGCAGCGAUGCCGCGUGGAGGAAGAAGGUUUUCGGAUUGUAAACUCCUUUUAUCAGGGACGAUAAUGACGGUACCUGAAGAAAAAGCUCCGGCUAACUACGUGCCAGCAGCCGCGGUAAUACGGAGGGUGCGAGCGUUAAUCGGAAUUACUGGGCGUAAAGCGCUCGUAGGCGGUAUGUCAAGUCAAGGGUGAAAUCCCCGCGCUCAACGUGGGAACUGCCUUUGAAACUGGCAAACUGGAGUGUGUGAGAGGAU
rnacentral:rRNA from 1 species